UACGGGGGGGGCAAGCGUUGUUCGGAAUUACUGGGCGUAAAGGGUUCGUAGGUGGCUUGCUAAGUCAGACGUGAAAUCCCCAGGCUCAACCUGGGAACUGCGUCCGAUACUGGAUGGCUUGAAUUCGGGAGAGGGAUGCAGAAUUCCAGGUGUAGCGGUGAAAUGCGUAGAUAUCUGGAGGAAUACCGGUGGCGAAGGCGGCAUCCUGGACCGACAUUGACACUGAGGCACGAAAGCGUGGGGAUCAAACAGG
rnacentral:rRNA from 1 species